UUGUUUCAGCUCCAGCAGCACCUAUACUAAAAUUGGAAUGAUACAAAGAUUAGGACAGCCCCUGCACAAAGAUGACAUGCAAAUUUGUGACACUUUCCCUAUUUUU